rnacentral:rRNA from 1 species
CGGACGUAGGUAACCUGCCUUGUAGCGGGGGAGUAACUAUUGGAAACGAUAGCUAAUACCGCAUAACAAUGGAUGACACAUGUCAUUUAUUUGAAAGGGGCAAUUGCUCCACUACAAGAUGGACCUGCGUUGUAUUAGCUAGUAGGUGAGGUAACGGCUCACCUAGGCGACGAUACAUAGCCGACCUGAGAGGGUGAUCGGCCACACUGGGACUGAGACACGGCCCAG